AGGCAGUUGGAGGAAGCAGUUGGAACUAGGGUCUGGUGAGGGUCAGUCCCAAGAAGGUUCUAUGAUUCAGGCCACAAAUGGAAGAAGAAAACAUAAAAUACCUUGAGGAGGGAUUAGAACUGCCUGGAAAAAGCCCAGGAAAAGUAAAAUGAAGACCAAUUCCUCAUCAACAGCAGAAAACAUCCUACCUCUUCAUGAAGUUGUGAGGGAAAUAAAAAGUUGUUCUCUGGAUUGUACCACCUCCAUCUUUUCCAUGUAACAAGUGGAGAGUUGUAUAUUUUAAAGGUCUCCAUGUGAAAUGUCCCCUUCUUCAUAUACUCUAGUAGCAUAUCAGGGACACAGCAACACUCCACAUUUCAGAUGUGCUCAUUUACUACUGCAGAUUUUUCUUUUUUUAACAUGGGGGAUGUUUAGAAAUCUGACGCCCCACCUGCAGUCGAAAGUGGCAUACUCAAGAUUUCUACUAUCUGCCUACAACUUUAGAGGGAGCUCUAAAUGAAAAUCUGUGAGAUUAUCGGCAUUGGCAAUGUAGAAUAUUUCAGUUUCUUGAACUACUCUGUGUGGUUGGUGCUAUUUGCUUGUCAGUAGCUGACAUGGUCAAUUAAAAAGAAGCAUCUCUAAUAUCGUACUAUUACUUCAUUUGCCAAAUAUAGGCCCUGCUCUAAUCUUGGCCAUGACUAACGUUGAAACCAAUGGAACAAUUCUUUGUGACUAAUGUAAGUCUCAUUGCUUUCACUGAGGCUUAGUAAUGAUUACUAACUUGACUGGUUUGGGGCCAAGGUGUUUUGUUUUGUUCAUAGGAGCUGAUCAAUAAAACUCUAAUGAUACUAUAA